GAGAUAAGGAAAUAAAAUGAAUGAAGUUCAUUUUCUAAAGAUAUUUCCGAUGACCAGCCAACAAUUAAAUGGCUAGGCAAUAACACAU
rnacentral:sRNA from 1 species